CAAAAUCUCAACUUUAUUAGAAGAGACGCAUUUAUUAGAUAAAAAGCCAAUGCAUGCUUUUACAGUAUGAAAAUUGGUGAUUUAUAAUAACUUAGCAAAUCGCAAAGUGAAAACAGGCGAUAAAUCAUUCAAGUUUCUGACCUAUCAGCUUUCGACGGUAUGGUAUUGGCUUACCGUGGCAGUGACGGUUAACGGGGGAUUAGGGUUCGAUUCCGGAGAGGGAGCCUGAGAAACGGCUACCACAUCUAAGGAAGGCAGCAGGCGCGCAAAUUACCCAAUUCUAACAGUUUGAGAGAGGUAGUAACAAGAAAUAACAAUACAAGGCAGUUAAAAUGCUUUGUAAUUGGAAUGAUAGAAAUUUAAACCCUUUUUAAAGUAUCAAUUGGAGGGCAAGUCUGGUGCCAGCAGCCGCGGUAAUUCCAGCUCCAAUAGCGUAUAUUAAAAUUGUUGCAGUUAAAAAGCUCGUAGUUGAAGUUCUGCUAAAAGUAACCGGUCUGCUUUGAAUAAAAGUGGUAUCUUGGUAUGUAUUUAGCAAUGAUGUCCUUUGAAGUGUUUUUUACUUUAUUGUAAUAAAGCAUAUUCAGGACUUUUACUUUGAGAAAAUUAGAGUGUUUCUAGCAGGCCAACGCUUUGAAUACU
rnacentral:rRNA from 1 species